GUGUAGAUUAAUUCCUUACUUAUGCUUGGAAAAUUUGGAGCUGUUCUUGAAAACUAAUCAAGGGAACCUGGGGGGUAAUGUAAUUUGCAGCCAAAGCUGAUCUGAUCCCAUGGUGCAUAGUGUAUGAAAUAACAAGUUUCUCAAGCAAAGGAUGUGAGCUAGUAUCUGUGUUACAAACCUUUGCUUCAGAUAGUUACCUUGUCUCUCCUACUUGACACUGUUGUUUUGUUCUAGUGCUUCAUUUAGAUUUAGGUUGCAAUUAAAGGUCACCUAUGUGAUUUCUUUUUUUUAAAAAUGCGGUGUUGCUCUUUUUUGGAUUGAUUUCUGUCCCUUAGGUAUCAGGAAUGCCAACCCUGGUCUAUCCUUGCUCUGCUGGAGAACUUUUUGGAGGACUCAGUGGAUGUAUAUCGUUAUUGCUUGUAACUUAAUUGAAGAGUUCACCGAAAGGCUGACUCAGUCACCAAGAUCAAUCUGCAAGUUGGGGAACAGGAGAGGAGAGGACAAGUUUGCUGUAAGCAGCCCCUGCAGAUGUCUUGGCACCAUCUCAAAGGAACAUUGCAGGUAAUGCUGCUCGGAAAAUUUAGGUGAGCAAACUUCAGUGGCUGUCGCUCUCCUUGGUAGGCAGGCAGUCAUAGCUCAGUGCUAAGACGGGUAGAUGCCAAUGGGAUUUCAUUUUACUAAUAAGGCUGCUGAUUGAGCCUCGGAUGAUGGACACCAUGUGUGUCACUCAGAGCCCCCCAAUACCCGUGUGGAAUCCCAUUGACUUUGAAAGGUCUCUGCCUGGGCACCAGGGUCCUGGCUAGUGGAUCUCACCGCUGGAUGGGAGUUCUUUGCGGCAGUCUUCUAUGUGAGUCUGUCACGUACACGUCACUUGGAGCCUUAGUCAUGGAUCAGGAUGCUAAGUGCGGUGUGAGCAACAAAAAGCUGGUCCCUGCUCCCAACGAGUUUACAAUCUAAGUCUAAUGCAAGCAACAGCCAAUGGAUACAGAACGAUGUGGGAAUACAAGUUAACCGUGAGACUGAAUUGAUGGACUGCUAAUUGAGUUCCAGAUGAUCCAAAGAAUUUAGGCACCUAACUGCUACUGGAAUCAAUAGGCAUUUAAGUACCUUUGCAGAUCUGGCCCCAGACUUCUAAUAUCUUUCUGAGGGCCCUAGGGCUAACUGCAUCGCUGUCCUUUCUCUAGGUGCUCAGAGUGCACCCCCUCAGGUGUCAGGCCUUGUACCUUUACCUCCCCUGGGGUGGAAUCACACUAUUCUCCAACUCAUAUACUGGAUCUUGGGCUGCAGUAUCGUGUGAAUCCACUGUGCUUAUCAAGGAGAUAUGACUGGGUGCGGCACCUGCAGGUCUUCCCUUCAGAAGUCUGUGACCAGCAGUGAUCACUAUGGAUCAGCCACCCGUCUUAAACCAAAGUAUUGUCUAAUCUUAAUGGCAGGACUAAAGCAUAACAGAUUUUAAAACAACAAACAGUCUACCUGCAUGUCUAUUUUACCUAGAGACUUACCAUCUCCUGAUGGAAGCCUAGAAAGACUUAACUUCUUCAGACUCUCCAGCGGGUGUCUCUGUGUGUGUCUGUUUGUUCCCUCAGACAGCUGUCCAACACCAGCUUUUGCUCUGGAACAGGAGUCUUUUUACCUGUUUAUAAUCCUUUUCGUCAGCUGGCUCUCUGCAUUGGCUCUGCGAGUAAAACAUGUUUUGUAACUUAGGCCUGGUCUACACUACGGGGUUAGGUCGAAUUUAGCCAUGUUAGGUCAAUUUAAAAAUGAC